rnacentral:lncRNA from 1 species
UUUGUCACUACAUUUGUCAUUAAUCCCGUCACUGACCUAGUGAUAAGUUUACCGUCACUAAUUGGUUACAAACGCGCUGAGCAAAAUCAAUUUUUAUUAACCAAAAUCCUGUCACUAAGUUUACGACUGCUCGUCACAAUACUUGGUAAACAAUUUAGUAACCAAAAUUUGGUCACCGAUCACAAUCUAAUAACCUGGUACAUUUGGUACAUUGAUUGGCUCAUAACAAUAAUAAUAAUAAUAUCAUUAAUAGCAAAGGCAUUCAACAUUACGCCAAAGUCAUUUUAAAUGUCAUUCAAAAUUGGCAUCAACAUGUCCUGAAUCCAUCAAAAUCAAAGUCUAAAAAUACGUCAUAAAGAUCAACAGAGAUUUCAUUCCUCCUAGGAAUGCAAAGACCUAUCAUCN